rnacentral:lncRNA from 1 species
AUGGGAAAUAAGCAAGACGAACUCCAACUCCUAGCACAGCACCACACAUAUGAUGUCAUAGGCAUCACUGAAACCUGGUGGGAUGACUCCCAUCACUGGAAUUUAACCAUUGAGGGCUAUAACCUCUUUCACAGAAAUAGAACAAAGGGGAGAGGAGGGGGAGUAGCUUUAUAUGUCAAAAACAGUUACAUUGCAGAAGAAAUGCAAGACUGUAAUCCGGGAAACCAGCUUGAAAGCAUCUGGAUAAGAAUCAAGGGAACCGGGACUCAAAAAGAUCUUGUCGUGGGUGUCUACUACAGACCUCCGAGUCAGGAUGAAGGACUUGAUGAAGCCUUCUGUCAACAGCUGACCAAACAGGCACAAAGAAGAGAUAUAGUAGUCAUGGGCGAUUUCAAUUAUCCCGAUAUCUGCUGGAAAACAAACUCAGCCAAGAGUACAAAGUCCAACAAAUUCCUCACUUGCCUUGCAGAUAAUUUUAUGGUCCAGAAGGUAGAAGAGGCAACAAGGGGAUCAGCAACUCUUGAUCUAAUCUUAACAAAUGUGGAAGACCUGAUAAAUACAGUUGAAGUGGUUGGAUCCUUAGGGGCAAGUGACCAUGUGCUCCUGCAGUUUGCAAUACAAAGGAAUGCUGAAACUAAGACAAGUCAAACAUGCAUUCUGGACUUUAAGAGAGCUGACUUCCAAAAAAUGAAGGAAUUACUGAGCGGCAUUCCAUGGACGCCGAUAUUAAAAAACAAGGGAGUUAAGGAUGGAUGGGAGUUUUUCAAAAGUGAAAUACUCAAGGCGCAAAUGCAAACAGUGCCAACAAAGAAGAAAAAUAAGACAAGUGCAAAGAAGCCAGAAUGGAUGUCCAAAGAACUUCUAACUGAGCUAAAGCUCAAAAGUGACAUGCACAAGAAGUGGAAAAGGGGAGAAAUCACCAAAGAAGAAUUCAAACGUAUAGCCAACACCUGUAGGGAAAAGGUUCGCAAGGCUAAAGCGCAAAAUGAGCUCAGGCUUGCCAGGGACAUAAAAAACAACAAAAAAGGCUUUUUUGCUUACGUUGGUAGAAAAAGGAAGAAAAAGGAGGCGAUAGGGCCAUUGCAAGGAGAAGAUGGGGUGAUGGCGACAGGGGACAGGGAAAAGGCAGAACUACUUAAUGCCUUCUUUGCCUCGGUCUUCUCAGAAAAAGAAAGCCAUCUUCAACCUCAGCAACACGGAAUGGACGAAGGAUUGGGGGAAAUCCAACCCCAAAUAGGGAAACAAGUUGUCCAGGAACACUUGGCCUCUCUAAACGAAUUCAAGUCCCCAGGGCCAGAUCAGCUACACCCAAGAGUACUGAAGGAACUAGCGGAAGUUAUUUCAGAACCACUGGCAAUUAUCUUCGAGAGUUCUUGGAGAACGGGAGAAGUCCCAGCAGAUUGGAGGAGGGCGAAUGUGGUCCCUAUCUUCAAGAAGGGAAAAAAGAACGACCCAAACAAUUACCGUCCGGUCAGCCUCACAUCAAUACCAGGCAAAAUUCUGGAAAAGAUCAUUAAGGAAGUGGUCUGCGAACACUUAGAAACAAAUGCGGUCAUUGCUAAUAGUCAACACGGAUUUACCAAAAACAAGUCAUGCCAGACUAAUCUGAUCUCUUUUUCGAUAGAGUUACGAGUUGGGUCGAUACAGGGAAUGCUGUGGAUGUAG